rnacentral:rRNA from 1 species
GACGAACGCUGGCGGCGUGCCUAAUACAUGCAAGUCGAACGGAGCGGCGGACGGGUGAGUAAUGCCUAGGAAUCUGCCUGGUAGUGGGGGAUAACGUCCGGAAACGGGCGCUAAUCCCGCAUACUAUCAGAUGAGCCUAGGUCGGAGUAGCUAGUUGGUGGGGUAAAGGCCUACCAAGGCGACGAUCCGUAACUGGUCUGAGAGGAUGAUCAGUCAAACUGGAACUGAGACACGGUCCAGCCUCCUACGGGAGGCAGCAGGGGGGAAUAUUGGACAAUGGGCGAAAGCCGGAUCCAGCCAUGCCGCGUGUGUGAAGAAGGUCUUCGGAUUGUAAAGCACUAUAAGUUGGGAGGCGUUACCAACAGAAUAAGCACCGGCUAACUUCGUGCCAGCAGCCGCGGUAAUUC